GGUAAGACGUGACCUUUUGAGGUGACUAUAACUGAAGAUUGCUUUACAGAAGCCAAAAAAGGUUUUUGAGUCAUGAUGCAAGAAUCUGGGACUGAGACAAAAAGUAACGGUUCAGCCAUCCAGAAUGGGUCGAGCGGCAGCAACCACUUACUAGAGUGCGGCAGUCUUCGGGAGGGGCGGUCCAACGGAGAGACCCCGGCGGUGGACAUCGGAGCGGCCGACCUCGCCCACGUCCAGCAGCAGCAGCAACAGCAGCAUCUAAAAGGCCACCAGACCUCUAGGGUUCCUACUGGUUGGCUUCAGAGACUAAUUUUCGAGUCCUUGGGCCUUGGAAGUCUUGGAAGUCCCCUUGUGGGGAGCAGUUGCUGAGACGCAGAUUGAGGGGACCUCUGGCUACUCCCUUGCAGCCCCCAACGUGUCUGCCUAA